CCCAUAAUGUAAAUCUCCACCCCUCUAAGUCCCAACUCUCUCUCCUCUCAAAGAUGAGACGACUCAGAACUCAAAAGUCUGAACUUUGAGAAGUCGACAAAAGUGUUUCUUUUGUUCCUAGGUUAGAAAAAAGAGGGAAAACCUGAGUUGUAGAAAAAGUGUUUCUCUGGACUUGAUUCAGCUUCCGAUACUUGUUCUCUUACAUCCAGUCUACGACAAAUAAAGCAGAAAAAGCGAACACUAUGCUCAUGUUCUCUUACAUCCAGUCUCAUUUCUUUCUAAUCUUCUUGUUGCUCACUAUUGGGAUUUCCACUGACAUCUCCGGAUUUGAGCAUCCGUGUUGGAAUUGUUGGCUCACCAAAUAUACCCAGCAGCGUUGGAUUUGAUGAGACACCAAAACAAAGGGCGAAAACCGGAUGAAAAUCCCAACAGGGGAGGAGGGAAGCAGAGGAAGAAGAAGAAGAAAAAGGAGGAGAAGAAGAGAGAAAGAGAGACAGAUGGGAGGUGGGUUCAGAUCUAUUGCUGCAACUGGUUGUAGCAGCGGUGACGGAAAGAGAAAAAAAGGGGGAAGAAGAAGAAGAGAGAAAGAGAGAGAACGAAAGAGAGACAGAUGGGAGGUGGGUUCAGAUCUACUGCUGCAGCUGGUUGAAGAAGAGAGAGAGAGAGAGAGGAGAAGAAGAAGAAGAAGAAGAGAAGGAGAAGAGAGAGGAAGAAAGAGCGAUUACCUUUUACAUCGAUAAUUUCAAUGUAAUUUUACACCGAUAUUACCCCAGUUCUAUUUUCCACCCCAAACAAACAUAGCUUUAAUAAACCUUGUACAUCACAUAAGUCAUGACUAGUAUGUAAUAAAGU